rnacentral:lncRNA from 1 species
UUUGUUUUCUCUUUCUUCUCUUCUCUAAUUUUCUUCUCUCCGUUUUGGCUUUCUUUUUAUUUUUCCUUCUUCACACUCACAACUCCAUCUUCUUCGUUCCGCAUCCCUUCAGUCCGUGAGGCCUUUCAGCCUCCCCACCAGCGAGCUUGGGAGAUUUGCGUCCUCCCGAAGGGGAUGGGAAGACCGUGACGGCGACGGCAGCACCGCACAGCCACUGGCGAGGGUCCAACGUCCCCAGUGGGGCUUCAGCAAAGCCGCCGCCGCCGCCGCCGCCAAUUUAUGGCGGAGACAAACGUACUCCCGCGAGGAAGCAAUGCAGCUUGAGUAAGACUUCAUGGUGCGGAAGAAGAAGGCCCCGAUCCUGUGCGACCUCACGAUAUCUCACACCCUUCUCUCACUGUCCACCAGGCCCACCUCCUUCCUCAGCCAUCCACCGACGGCGAGGCCAGUCCUCGCCGUCGACGGAGUCACCAAUUUCCUUGCGCACAAGCCAAUGUCCUCUUCCUUCCCAAUCCGAUAGAUCUAAUAACAAAACCACAAGAAAAUUGUUGGUGCUUUUUUGUUCAAGAUUUUCGUUGCUGUUGGUCUUACGUUGGUUGUUUAGUAUAAGUUAAUAUUCAAUAAAAUGCCUAGUUCAUAAA